rnacentral:rRNA from 1 species
ACGGGUGAGUAACACGUGGGUAACCUGCCUCAUAGAGGGGAAUAGCCUUCCGAAAGGAAGAUUAAUACCGCAUAAGAUUGUAGUGCCGCAUGGCAUAGCAAUUAAAGGAGUAAUCCGCUAUGAGAUGGACCCGCGUCGCAUUAGCUAGUUGGUGAGGUAACGGCUCACCAAGGCGACGAUGCGUAGCCGACCUGAGAGGGUGAUCGGCCACAUUGGGACUGAGACACGGCCCAGACUCCUACGGGAGGCAGCAGUGGGGAAUAUUGCACAAUGGGGGAAACCCUGAUGCAGCAACGCCGCGUGAGUGAUGACGGUCUUCGGAUUGUAAAACUCUGUCUUCAGGGACGAUAAUGACGGUACCUGAGGAGGAAGCCACGGCUAACUACGUGCCAGCAGCCGCGGUAAUACGUAGGUGGCAAGCGUUGUCCGGAUUUACUGGGCGUAAAGGGAGCGUAGGUGGAUAUUUAAGUGGGAUGUGAAAUACUCGGGCUUAACUUGGGUGCUGCAUUCCAAACUGGAUAUCUAGAGUGCAGGAGAGGAAAGUAGAAUUCCUAGUGUAGCGGUGAAAUGCGUAGA